AUGAGCAGAGAGAUGUUUGGAGACCUGUCCUUCUCAACACCAAGCCAGGAACCAGGGACACCCAGGCUCAUGCGCACCAACUCUGACUUCUGCAGAGAACUGGACGGUCAACUGAAAGGCUGCUUCGAUGGUCCAGCUCUGAGCAGUGACUUCCUUAAUGAAGACCCUGUUUCUCUAAAAAACGAUUUUUUCAAAGAGUUAGGGGAUCUAGGCCUGGAGAACUCUGGGGCAACAUGUUCAACCAUGGAGGAGCCCCAGCCUGCUGUGACCAACACCAUGCUCCUGGAGACCACCACCAAUGGGCCUGACUCUCCAAGCCAACCGCCAACUGUCUUCCCUGUGGACCUGGCCGCUGAGACUGCUCCUUCCCUUCAGGAGCUCUUCCAGCCACAGAUGUUCCCUGAAGUGUUCGGACCAGGCUGUGGUAUAAGUAGCACUGACCUGCUGCCUACCAGCACACCCCCUCCUGGUUACUCACCAGCCUGUGGAUCCACCCAGGGCGAUGAUGGACCCAAUAGGGGCUCUAUGAACAACCUCAGUCUGGACCCGAACUCAGCCCCGACAACACCGCUACUAUCCCAGCAUGCCCUGCCACAGGUGGAACAGGCUCAGCGCUCUCAGCUCUGCAGUGUCUCCAUCUUUGAGACAGGGUUUAGCCCAGCCCACCCCUGGUCCCAGGUGGUGAAGUUUGAUGCUACCCCCCAGGCUCCCACCACCGCGCAUCUUUCUGACCCCAUGGAACCCACUGACACCACCACUCUGCUCUCCCAGCCCAGCAGCCCUCUGCCAAUGAGCACUAGGGACGCCGGCCAGAUCCACAUCCAUGUCACCGGGGUCAAUGAGGUGGUUGUCAUGGUGACAGAGGUGGAAGGAGAGGAGGUGGAGGAGCUUCAGAGCCUGAUGAACAUAGCGCCACACUCAUCGUGCUGCCAGCUGGUGAUGGAACAGCCAAAGAAUGCAGUGAGAGAGGAAGAGGGGGGUAAUAAGAAGGAGAAGCCUGGACACUGUUGGAGUGGAGUGUGCUGUUUCUUCUCUUGCAUGUCGAGCAAAACAGAGCAAUGA
rnacentral:lncRNA from 13 species